rnacentral:lncRNA from 1 species
AUGUAUAGGAAGCUUUAUAUAUUCUUUGAAGAAGGGCAGAUGAAAGAGUCUCUCCAAAUGCAAGGUAUCUUACUUGCUUGCCAAGGCAAGUCCUCUUAUAAAAGGGAGGCUUUAAAAGUCUGUCAAAGGAUACUACCAAGAGGGUGGAUUCAUUAUUUUAAAGCCCUUUCAGGGUCCUCCUACCAUUGCAUUCUUCAUGAACUUCUUUGGAUGGUGACUUGGAAGCAUCCCUCCAGGUGUGGUACUUCUUCCUCCUGACAACAGAGGACUUGGUGUGGAAUUCUCUGAGAUGUCUCCUUGCCUUCACUCUGCACUAGGGGCCACAGACAAGAGCUUUGCCCAGGAAAUGAAAAUAAAAGCCAUAUCCUAUGAGGGUUGGACA